rnacentral:sRNA from 1 species
CCUGAUGGCUGUGGGUGACAGGAUUAGGCAUGUACAGGAUCAUGGGACAAUAGGACAUGGGGAACUUUUCUUCUCCCCAAAGGGGGAAACUUGAGAGCUGAUGGGACUGCUGGAAAAGAUUCCUUCGCAACCAAGAAGGGGCGGCCUAAACUUUUGAUUCACUGUGGCUGCAAUGGAGUCAAGGAAACUUUUCUCUUGAGCUAUUGGCAGCUUAACUCCUGUGAACAAAAUUUGGAGCAUAUUUGUUUCUCUCUGCCUGAUUUCUCCAAAAUUUGGAAACUAUUUCUCUUCAUGCCUGACUCUUCCCAAGAAGCCACUCCUGCACACCUCCCUAAAUGUCGAAGCUUAACUCUUCCCAGAGCCCUCCCUGCCUUUCCUCACCUGCCAAGCCCAGUCCCCAGGACCUGCACCCACAGCCAGUCCCAAAAUCCAUUCUGAGCUGUUACAGCAACCAGAGAAGCUUAGAGACAUCAUCUUGUGCCCCGUGGUCAAGACCUAGUGACCUCAGAAUCAUUCUCGCUCCCCUUCUGCUUCUCAGCUGCCAUCUUCAUUUUUGAACUUCUGGGUUCAAACUCACAAGGAGUCACAGAUCCUAGAUUGUGGCUAUGCCAGCCAGCGCCCAGGUGUGAGGAGUGGACCUACAACCCCUUGGAGCAGUGAUGUGAUGACGGUGUCAUCCUAGA